rnacentral:rRNA from 1 species
ACGGAGGUGGCAAGCGUUGUUCGGAAUUACUGGGCGUAAAGGGCGCGUAGGCGGCAUUGCAAGUCAGAUGUGAAAGCCCCGAGCUUAACUUGGGAAUUGCAUCUGAAACUGCUUUGCUUGAGUCCUGGAGGGGGUAGUGGAAUUCCCAGUGUAGCGGUGAAAUGCGUAGAUAUUGGGAGGAACACCUGCGGCGAAGGCGGCUACCUGGACAGUGACUGACGCUGAGGCGCGAAAGCUAGGGGAGCGAACGG